rnacentral:tRNA from 1 species
UUCCUGGAGGACUAGUGGUUAGGCCACAGCGCUCUCACCGCUGUGGCUAGGGUUCAAAUUCCCGGCCAGGGAU